rnacentral:rRNA from 1 species
CAGUCGCCGCGGGAAUACGGAGGGUGCAAGCGUUAAUCGGAAUUACUGGGCGUAAAGCGUGCGUAGGCGGUUCGUUAAGUCUGUUGUGAAAGCCCCGGGCUCAACCUGGGAAUGGCAAUGGAUACUGGCGAGCUAGAGUGUGUCAGAGGAUGGUGGAAUUCCCGGUGUAGCGGUGAAAUGCGUAGAGAUCGGGAGGAACAUCAGUGGCGAAGGCGGCCAUCUGGGACAACACUGACGCUGAGGCACGAAAGCGUGGGGAGCAAACAGGAUUAGAUACCCCUGUAGUCCCUGUCUCUUAUAC